CACUUCCUGUUUUAAAGUUACCUUGAGAAGCAGAACAGGGGUCAGAUUCUUCACUUCAAACCCAAGAACUUAAGGAUUGGAAAUAUCCAGGAAAUGCACACAGCAGACACAUAUGAUCUCAUGCGCUUCAAAAACGAGGGAGGGCAAAUUUAGAAUUGUUCUUAAAAGCCAAAGGAGAGGGUCGCUACACUUCCCACCCAAAGGAUUUCCUAUUGGCUAUGGAGUUCCAUUUAAAAAAAAAUUGAAGAGGACACCAUGAAGAAAGAAAGAAAACAAGACUUGGGGUAAUUUCUCUUCUGUGCCCUGUAUUCCUGCAGCAAGCAAUUCCUCAGCUGUAAAGAAUUGUGUAAGAGGACUCCCAGCUGGAACUAAAAAAAUCCCUGGUUUUUAGGCCGGAAAUCCAGGCCUUUCACCACCAGUCACAGCCGAGGUCUGGUUAUUGUUCUAAAAGUCUGCCUUUCAACCCUGUUUUUGAUGUACCAGAUUAAACCAAUCAAGCCCCUU